rnacentral:rRNA from 1 species
ACGCUGGCGGCACGCCUAACACAUGCAAGUCGAACGAAGUAGCAAUACUUAGUGGCAGACGGGUGAGUAACAUGUGGGUAUCUGCCCUUUGGCCUGGAAUAACACGAGGAAACUUGUGCUAAUACCGGAUAAGUCUUUACGGAGAAAGCUUUAUGCACCAUUGGAUGAGCCUGCACUUGAUUAGUUUGUUGGUGGGGUAAUGGCCUACCAAGACUGUGAUCAAUAGCUGAUUUGAGAGGAUGAUCAGCCACAUUGGGACUGAGACACGGCCCAAACUCCUACGGGAGGCAGCAGUGGGGAAUCUUGCACAAUGGAGGAAACUCUGAUGCAGCGAUGCCGCGUGAGUGAAGAAGGCCCUUGGGUUGUAAAGCUCUUUCGUCGGGGAAGAAAAUGACUGUACCCGAAUAAGAAGGUCCGGCUAACUUCGUGCCAGCAGCCGCGGUAAUACGAAGGGACCUAGCGUAGUUCGGAAUUACUGGGCUUAAAGAGUUCGUAGGUGGUUGAAAAAGUUAGUGGUGAAAUCCCAGAGCUUAACUCUGGAACUGCCAUUAAAACUUUUCAGCUAGAGUAUGAUAGAGGAAAGCAGAAUUUCUAGUGUAGAGGUGAAAUUCGUAGAUAUUAGAAAGAAUACCAAUUGCGAAGGCAGCUUUCUGGAUCAUUACUGACACUGAGGAACGAAAGCAUGGGUAGCGAAGAGGAUUAGAUACCCUCGUAGUCCAUGCCGUAAACGAUGUGUGUUAGACGUUGGAAAUUUAUUUUCAGUGUCGCAGGGAAACCGAUAAACACACCGCCUGGGGAGUACGACCGCAAGGUUAAAACUCAAAUGAAUUGACGGGGACCCGCACAAGUAGUGGAGCAUGUGGUUUAAUUCGAAGAUACGCGCAGAACCUUACCAACACUUGACAUGUUCGUCGCGACUCUAAGAGAUUAGAGUUUUCGGUUCGGCCGGACGAAACACAGGUGCUGCAUGGCUGUCGUCAGCUCGUGUCGUGAGAUGUUGGGUUAAGUCCCGCAACGAGCGCAACCCUCACUUUUAGUUGCCAUCAUUAAGUUGGGCACUCUGAAAGAACUGCCAGUGAUAAGCUGGAGGAAGGUGGGGAUGACGUCAAGUCCUCAUGGCCCUUACGUGUUGGGCUACACACGUGCUACAAUGGUAUCUACAACAGGAAGCAAGACGGCGACGUCAAGCAAAUCCCUAAAAGAUACCUCAGUUCGGAUUGCACUCUGCAACUCGAGUGCAUGAAGCUGGAAUUACUAGUAAUCGUGGAUCAGCGUGCCACGGUGAAUGCGUUCCCGGGUCUUGUACUCACCGC